CAAAAUUCCUCAUCAAAGAAGCCACAUUGAAGGAAAUCCAGCUAGCUUUUGUUCAAAACAAGCUAACCUCCAAACAACUAGUCAGGUUCUACUUGGAACAAAUCCAAACCCUCAAUCCUUUACUUCACGGUGUAGUGGAGAUCAAUCCAGACGCAUUAGAACAAGCAGAGAAAGCUGAUCAAGAGAGAGAGAAGAAUCAGGGCCGCCU
rnacentral:misc_RNA from 1 species